CUCAACUCAAAAUUGUUACAUAAUUUUAACCAAUUUCGUUCUUGUUUACAAUUAACUAUUAUUCUAAUUGUUGAAAUUUUUUGUUCAAUUAUGUGAUUUCGAUGCAGUUGAUUGAUGGCUCCAAAUGAUAUUCACUUCCCAGUAAUUCUAGUCCCUGAAUACUACUCAAGUCUCAUUGGUUAUCAUCUCAUUUCAAUCACUCGGAAGGUUAAUUAAAUUGAUCGUUUAAAUUGUAAACCUAAAAUUGAUUUAAAAAGAGAGAAUCCAUAAAUUGACACAGUCUAAUGGAGAGACAGAUUAAUGUCACAUUUAAAUAUAGGAACUGAGGCCUUUCACCAUGUUGGUGUUUUUGUUUUCUAUUACAAUUUUCGGAGAUCAUCAUCAGAAUUAUCUUGUUGAUUUAAGAAAAAAGCAUGAUAAAAUAUACAGAAUGGAGGAGAAUCACGUUUGAAUAACCAUGUUAACUUUCUGGAUAAGCAAUGGAGAUGAAUUAAAAGGAAAAGCCAAAGAAAACGAUUCUCCUUACAAAGAUAAACGUAAUCCGUAAACAUCAACAUACUCAUCACCAUCAUCAACAAUUUCUCCACCUCCACCACCACCACCAACAACAACAACAACAACAUUAGCCUACAGCAUUAAAAUGGAAGAAGAAAAAAAGAGAAGGAUAAAAAAGAUGCAAUUUCAUCAGUUCUCGCUUGUUGAUACAACAGGAAGGACUCUAACCGUUGAAGAAGAGAGAGGAAAAGAAGAAGAAAAGUAAAAAUAAUAUAUAUAUUGUAUAUAUAACAUGUUCAUUUCUUUUUCUGAAAAAAGUAGGGAAAAAAACUAUGGAACUAAUUUUCUUAUGGUUAGAGAUGGAAAAUCCAAUGGAAAAUGAUGACGAUGGUGUUAAUGGUAGCAAAGAAAAAGAAGUGAAAAAGAAAACCAACAAAAAGGAUUAGGAUUAUCGAAAAGUGUAAAAGAAAAGAGGAAAAAAAACAAAGCAUAAAGGGUUAUGGAACAAGCUUACCAAGUGAUCUGAGUUAUGACCAGUGAUUAUCAUCUAAUCAUCAAUGGAGGAAAAACAGAAAAAUAUUGUAUAUUAUUCAAUAAGAAACCCGGAUGACCCUGUUCAUGGUCUCAUCUGUUUUCUAGUCUGUGAUAUGAUUAAAGUAGUCAAUCAGUUGAUUUGAACGAAUCAAAUAUCAAAUUUAAUAGCAACUGAUAAUUAUUGGAAAAGAGGCAAACGCAAUUAGUGAACAAUUAACGAUCCCGGUGAAGAUGAUUAAAAAAUAGGAUACCCAGAUUACCACCCAGUUAAUUAACUUUUGAAUAUUUUCAUUGAUUAUCAAUAAUUUUCCUUGCCUGAUGCUGUUGCAAUUAGUUAAUUAAUUUACCAAUUUUGUAAUCAUAUAAACAGAAUCUUUUUUAACCCUAACUUGAAAUCAAAUCAACUCUACAUUGAUUGUAAAUUGAACAUAAUCUAAAGUGAAACAAUUUAGUUAAUUGCAACAAUCUUAACCUUUGAACACCAAUGAUAACAAACCAAAAAGAGAGCCCAGGAUUUAAUUGUUACAAUGUAAUAGUUAAUUUUCAAGGUUAAUUGUACCCUUACAAUAAAGUAAUUGAUUGUUAAAUUAAAACAAACUCAAUUCCUAGUAGUUUUCGGUUUAAUUGUUAAUCAUCAAUUAAUGUGUAAAUUAAAAGCAAUUUGUAAACUUGAUUAACUAUGGAUUUGAGGUAAAAGAUUAAUCAACCGAGUAAUUUGAAUAAUCAACAACUAUAAAAGCAACAACAAUAACAACAAUUAAUCACUUGAUUGUUAUGAUUAUCAUUAUAAUAUCACCUAAGAAAAUUAAUUU